AUUAUGCCCCCCUUCGAAGAAGAGGGGGUAUAUUGCUUUGCUUAUGUCGGUCUGUCGGUCGGUCGGUCGGUCCGUCCACCAGGUGGUUGUCAGACAAUAACUCAAGAACGCUUGGGCCUAGGAUCAUGAAACUUCAUAGGUACAUUGAUCAUGACUCGCAGAUGACCCCUAUUGAUUUUGAGGUCACUAGGUCAAAGGUCAAGGUCACAGUGACCCGAAAUAGUAAAAUGGUUUCCGGAUGAUAACUCAAGAACGCAUACGCCUAGGAUCAUGAAACUUCAUGGGUAGAUUGAUCAUGACUCGCAGAUGACCGCUAUUGAUUUUGAGGUCACUAGGUCAAAGGUCAAGGUCACGUUGACCCGAAAUAGUAAAAUGGUUUCCGGAUGAUAACUCAAGAAUGCAUACGCCUAGGAUCAUGAAACUUCAUGGGUAGAUUGAUCAUGACUCGCAGAUGACCCCUAUUGAUUUUGAGGUCACUAGGUCAAAGGUCAAGGUCACGGUGACCCGAAAUAGUAAAAUGGUUUCCGGAUGAUAACUCAAGAACGCUUAUGCCUAGGAUCAUGAAACUUCAUAGGUACAUUGAUCAUGACUCGCAGAUGACCCCUAUUGAUUUUCAGGUCACUAGGUCAAAGGUCAAGGUCACGGUGACCCGAAAUAGUAAAAUGGUUUCCGGAUGAGAACUCAAGAACGCUUAUGCCUAGGAUCAUGAAACUUCAUAGGUACAUAGAUCAUGACUCCCAGAUGACCCCUAUUGAUUUUCAGGUCACAAGGUCAAGGUCACGGUGACCCGAAAUAGUAAAAUGGUUUCUGGAUGACUCAAGAACGCUUAUGCCUAGGAUCAUGAAACUUCAUAGGUACAUUGAUCAUGACUCGCAGAUGACCCCUAUUGAUUUUCAGGUCACUAGGUCAAAGGUCAAAGUCACGGUGACUCAACUUAGAUAAAUGGUUUCCGGAUGAUUACUCAAUAACACUUACGCCUAGGAUCAUGAAACUUCAUAGGUACAUUGAUCAUGACUCGCAGAUGAUCCCUAUUGACUUAUAGGUCACUAGGUCAAAGGUCAAGGUCACUGUGAAUUGACACAGUAAAAUGGUUUCCGGAUGAUAACUCAAGAAAGCUUACGCCUAGGAUCAUGAAACUUCAUAGGUACAUUGAUCAUGACUCGCAGAUGACCCCUAUUGAUUUUCAGGUCACUAGGUCAAAGGUCAAGGUCACAGUGACAAAAAACGUAUUCACACAAUGGCUGCCACUCAAACUGACCGCCCAUAUGGGGGCUUGCAUGUUUUACAAACAGCCCUUGUUUCAAUUAAUGAACCAUUUUAGGGUUCAUGAACCAUUUUAAGAGUUAAUUAUCUCUUCAUGAACUCCUAAAUGAGACAGUUUGUCAACUCAGGAAGCCUUUUUCUUAAGGGAACCAUUCCAUGAGAUCAGGUGGGAGUCAUGACAGAUCACAUUGUAUAACCAUGCAGGAACCAUAACAUUAAAGUUGUAUAUGAUUUUGUUUGCAGCUGUUAUCUGUUUAUUGAAGCCAUAAAGUAUCGGCAUAAGGAGAGGUAAUGAAUAGCCAGGCAAAAUAUCUUAAAUAAAAAAUCCAAGUGGCAGUUUUGGUGUAAAUCUUCUGAUGUAAAUGAUUUUGAUUUAAUUUUGUAUGGUAAUAAAUCCAGAUUUAAAUCUGUCAUAUUUAUUUUUUGCCCAAACCAAACAGGCGGAUGUAAUUGAUGCGUGCCAUAUUAAAAUUGAACAUUUAAAAGUAACAUUACUACUCAAAAUCAACGAAAAUUUCGUACAAUAUUUCGUCAAAUAAAGCUAAACAAUUAAAAAUCAUUGUUCCUUAUUGCCAUUGUCGAAAUUUCAACGCCAGAUGUGGUCUGGUAAAAUAGAUGUUUGUGGAUACAAAAUACUCGUCUUUUUAUGUCCCCCACUAUAGUAGUGGGGGACAUAUUGUUUUUGCCUUGUCUGUUGGUCUGUUGGUUGGUCUGUUGGUUGGUUUGUGCCAACUUUAACAUUUAACAAUAACUUUUGCUAUAUUGAAUAUAGCAACUUGAUAUUUGGCAUGCAUGUGUAUCUCAUGGAGCUGCACAUUUUGAGUGGUGAAAGGUCAAGGUCAUCCUUCAAGGUCAAAUAUAUGGGUCAAAAUUGCUCAUGUAAUGUCAUUUCUGCAAUAUUGAAGCUAGCA